rnacentral:rRNA from 1 species
GAGUUGAUCAUGGCUCAGAAGCGAACGCUGGCGGCAGGCCUAACACAUGCAAGUCGAACGAACUUCUUCGGAGUUAGUGGCGGACGGGUGAGUAACACGUGGGAACGUGCCUUUAGGUUUGGAAUAACUCAGGGAAACUUGUGCUAAUACCGAAUGUGCCCUUCGGGGGAAAGAUUUAUCGCCUUUAGAGCGGCCCGCGUCUGAUUAGCUAGUUGGUGAGGUAAAGGCUCACCAAGGCGACGAUCAGUAGCUGGUCUGAGAGGAUGAUCAGCCACAUUGGGACUGAGACACGGCCCAAACUCCUACGGGAGGCAGCAGUGGGGAAUCUUGCGCAAUGGGCGAAAGCCUGACGCAGCCAUGCCGCGUGAAUGAUGAAGGUCUUAGGAUUGUAAAAUUCUUUCAGUAGGGACGAUAAUGACGGUACCUACAGAAGAAGCCCCGGCUUA